GCAGUGGGAGCCCCACCACUAAGCCAGUGGUGAACUCCACAUACGCAUCCUUUGCUGAAGGUGCGGUUAACGGAGCGCAAGCGACGCCCAACACACAAAACAAGCGGUGAGUGCUUUGGGGUGGGGUGACUGCGUACCUUUUGUAUAAUGGGUCAGCGACUUAUAUUCUGUAGCAAGGUUAACCGUAUAGGGGAGCCGGAGGGAA
rnacentral:rRNA from 1 species